UACGGAGGGGGCGAGCGUUAUUCGGAAUUAUUGGGCGUAAAGGGCGCGUAGGCGGCUGAACAAGUCAAAGGUGAAAUCCCUCGGCUCAACUGAGGAACUGCCUUUGAAACUGUUCGGCUUGACGGCCGGGAGGGGGUAGCGGAAUUCCCAGUGUAGCGGUGAAAUGCGUAGAUAUUGGGAGGAACACCAGUGGCGAAGGCGGCUACCUGGACCGGUUCUGACGCUGAGGCGCGAAAGCGUGGGGGAGCAAACAGG
rnacentral:rRNA from 1 species